rnacentral:rRNA from 1 species
GCUACCAUGCAGUCGAACGCGAGAGGGUUUUGGCCUGAGUAGCGUGGCGGACGGGUGAGUAAUGCGUGGGAACCGACCUCGUCGUGGGGGAUAACCCGGGGAAACUCGGGCUAAUACCGCAUACGACCUACGGGUGAAAGGGGGCGUUAGCUCCUGUGGUGAGACGGGCUCAUGUCCGAUUAGCUAGUUGGUGGGGUAAGGGCCUACCAAGGCGACGAUCGGUAGCUGGUCUGAGAGGAUGAUCAGCCACACUGGGACUGAGACACGGCCCAGACUCCUACGGGAGGCAGCAGUGGGGAAUAUUGGACAAUGGGCGCAAGCCUGAUCCAGCAAUGCCGCGUGGGUGAAGAAGGCCUGCGGGUUGUAAAGCCCUUUCGGUGGGGAAGAAAGGUCCAAGGUGAAGAAUUUUGGGCUGUGACGUUACCCACAGAAGAAGCACCGGCUAACUCUGUGCCAGCAGCCGCGGUAAUACGGAGGGUGCGAGCGUUAAUCGGAAUCACUGGGCGUAAAGCGCGCGUAGGCGGUGAUGUAAGUCAGCUGUGAAAGCCCUGGGCUUAACCUGGGAAUGGCAGUUGAGACUGCAUGGCUGGAGUCUGAGAGAGGGGGGUGGAAUUCCAGGUGUAGCGGUGAAAUGCGUAGAGAUCUGGAGGAACACCGGUGGCGAAGGCGGCCCCCUGGCUCAAGACUGACGCUGAGGUGCGAAGGCGUGGGGAGCAACAGGAUUAGAUACCCUGGUAGUCCACGCGGUAAACGAUGUCGACUAGCCGUGGGGUCCAAUUAAGGAUUUCGUGGCGCAGCCAACGCGAUAAGUCGACCGCCUGGGGAGUACGGCCGCAAGGUUAAAACUCAAAGGAAUUGACGGGGGCCCGCACAAGCGGUGGAGCAUGUGGUUUAAUUCGAUGCAACGCGAAGAACCUUACCAGCCCUUGACAUCCUCGGGAUCCUGCAGAGAUGUGGGAGUGCCUUCGGGAGCCGAGAGACAGGUGCUGCAU